rnacentral:rRNA from 1 species
UACGUAGGGUGCGAGCGUUGUCCGGAAUUACUGGGCGUAAAGAGCUUGUAGGCGGUUUGUCGCGUCUGCUGUGAAAUUUCGGGGCUCAACCCCGAACUUGCAGUGGGUACGGGCAGACUAGAGUGUGGUAGGGGAGACUGGAAUUCCUGGUGUAGCGGUGAAAUGCGCAGAUAUCAGGAGGAACACCGAUGGCGAAGGCAGGUCUCUGGGCCAUAACUGACGCUGAGAAGCGAAAAGCAUGGGGGAGCGAACAGG